rnacentral:lncRNA from 1 species
GCUAGCCUUAUCCCAUGAUUGAAUAGUUAUGGUUCCACCGAUUUAGACCUCCCGAGUAAUUCCUUUUGUUGCCGGCCUUUGCCAAUCUUUGUAUAUACCUCUUUAUUGUUUGCCGUUCAGGUGCCGUUGAGACUGUCGUAUAGUCAUAUAUCCUCCUUGCUUAAUUAAUGAAUCGUGUUGCUUUUCGUCAAAAAUAAAUAAAACGGGAACGACAAAAGAGCAUCCUGAUCUUUGUAUCCAGACUACAGAGGCGAUCCUGUCCGUUUCUCAGGCACCCAGCCAGGUUGGUGUCGUGACGUGCAGUGUUAGCUCCAGACUCCAAACAAUGCAACAGCCAUGAUUCCCAAUUAGCUUCUCCAUGCAUGCAUAACGGUGUUUGGCCCUUUCUGCGGCUGUGUACAUUGUUUUGACUUUUGAUGCAGAGUCUAGAGAAAAAUUUCUAUCGGAAAAAAGAAAAAAUAAACACUGCACGAGCUCUGCACCGUGGAUAUCUCUCGUAGCUCCAAAGAUGCCAAGGACCCUGGAUCGGCACUUAAACCACUUCGGCAGGGAAGCACAAGACAGAGCACGAUCCACAGGGAACGGGCCCAUUGUGGACGGGAACCUCCUGAUGCAUGGCUUGGGCCGUAUUCCCUCGCGUACGCUUCACGGGCGGGCUGGCCGACUUGCUUGCUUUUAGCCGGUCCAGUACGCCAGAUAAGGGCCUAAGGCCUUGUUUCCCUCUGUUUCUAUUCUCCGUUUUGAUCAACAAAAUGGGCCAAGUGGCCACCUUCGGAACUAAUUCUGCACGGCCUUUCUUUGACACAUUUUUGUCUGGGCCUCGUGUCGCACUCGCACAGGCCACACGGCCGUUUACUCGUCAUCCCGUUCCAUUCAAAUCAUUCCCGUCUUCCUCACCACUGCACAAAAGCAAAAAAGCCUCUGCCAUUUGUCCACCAUCUUUACCCAAAAUAUCUGUAGUUUUUCGAUAGCUUAUGAAACAGCCAGCCACCCAUGGACGACAGAGAACAUACGUACGGGUGCACAUGGCUUCGAUAAGUAAAAAAAAAGGAAAAAAAAAAAGCUAUUGCGUUGACCUUUCAAACGUAAGGCCGAGAGGUAAACGAAUCCAGAGAGUACAGUACUCCCUCCAUACCGAAAUAAACGAAGGUUGAUUUGUAUAACUUUUUAUAUAAAUACACAUCACUCUUUUUUUUAAGACAGUACACGGGGUGUGAAUGGGAUUCCGUCCAGCAGCAAGUCAAUCUGGUCCCAAUAGUGUAGCAUGCAAAUUAAGCAAACAAACACGGUUGCAUGCACGAGAGGUGCCGGGUCAAACCGGCCGGUCGAUCGGUCGACGCUGUCAGGAUCCACACUGGCCAGGUUUAAUUAGCUUAAGCCGGGCCGGACAAGUAAUAUCAGCUGUCAGGCCGGUAUAGUACGUGGAGCGGUAUAUAUAAGUGGCGGCACCGCGCGCC